rnacentral:misc_RNA from 1 species
GGAAGUAAAAGUCUAACAAGGUUUCCGUAGGUGAACCUGCGGAAGGAUCAUUCAUAAUAUGUGUUUUAUGGCACUUUUUAAAUCCAUAUCCACCUUGUGUGCAAUGUCAGGGUUGAUUUUUCUCUCGAGAGGAUCAACCCCAAACAUCAACUAUAUCUCAACUCUUUGUCUGAAAAAUAUUAUGAAUAAAACAAUUCAAAAUACAACUUUCAACAACGGAUCUCUUGGCUCUC